rnacentral:rRNA from 1 species
CCUACGGGUGGCAGCAGUGGGGAAUAUUGGACAAUGGGGGGAACCCUGAUCCAGCGACGCCGCGUGAGUGAAGAAGUAUUUCGGUAUGUAAAGCUCUAUCAGCAGGGAAGAAAGAAAUGACGGUACCUGACUAAGAAGCCCCGGCUAACUACGUGCCAGCAGCCGCGGUAAUACGUAGGGGGCAAGCGUUAUCCGGAUUUACUGGGUGUAAAGGGAGCGUAGACGGCGAUGCAAGUCUGAAGUGAAAGGCGGGGGCCCAACCCCCGGACUGCUUUGGAAACUGGAUGGCGUGAGUGCAGGGGGGGGAAGUGGAAUUCCUAGGGUAGCGGUGAAAGGCGUAGAUAUUAGGAGGAACACCAGUGGCGAAGGCGGCUUACUGGACUGUAACUGACGUUGAGGCUCGAAAGCGUGGGGAGCAAACAGGAUGAGAUACCCGAGUAGUC